UACUGCAUUUUUUCUUACACAUGUGUUUUUCUUUUUUUGAAAACUUUGCUUUGGUAGGCCUUCUAUAUGGGGCCUGCCAGAGAUUAAACUCAACCAAAUUUUAUUUAAUGUCAACCGAUUAUUUAAUAGUCAAAACUUUCAACAACGGAUCUCUUGGUUCUCGCAUCGAUGAAGAACGCAGCGAAAUGCGAUAAGUAAUAUGAAUUGCAGAUAUUCGUGAAUCAUCGAAUCUUUGAACGCACAUUGCGCCCUUUGGUAUUCCAAAGGGCAUGCCUGUUUGAGCGUCAUUUCUCCCUCAAACCCUCGGGUUUGGUGUUGAGCGAUACGCUGGGUUUGCUUGAAAGAAAGGCGGAGUAUAAACUAAUGGAUAGGUUUUUUCCACUCAUUGGUACAAACUCCAAAACUUCUUCCAAAUUCGACCUCAAAUCAGGUAGGACUACCCGCUGAACUUAAGCAUAUCAAUAGCGGAGG
rnacentral:rRNA from 1 species